CGCCUCUCGACUAAUUUAUGAGAGGUCCAGCCUGCCCAGUGACGUAGUUAAACGGCCGCGGUACCCUGACCGUGCGAAGGUAGCAUAAUCACUUGUUCUUUAAAUGGGGACUAGUAUCAACGGCACCACGAGGGCUUCCCUGUCUCCUUUUUCCAAUCAGUGAAACUGAUCUCCCUGUGAAGAAGCAGGGAUAUCUAUAUAAGACGAGAAGACCCCAUGGAGCUUUAAACCCAACUGACAUCCUGACACACACAAUUCAAUUUAGUCAUUAAAGACAUGUCUGUUGGUUUUAGGUUGGGGUGACCGCGGAGUAAAACUGAACCUCCACGACGCACGGGACUACCCCCUUAUCUAAGAGCCACAUCUCUAAGAAUUAAAACAUUAACGUAAAAUGAUCCAAAUGUUUGAUCAACGGACCAAGUUACCCUGGGGAUAACAGCGCAAUCCAUUUCAAGAGCCCCUAUCGACAAAUGGGUUUACGACCUCGAUGUUGGAUCAGGGUAUCCCAGUGGUGCAGCCGCUACUAAUGGUUUGUUUGUUCAACAAUUAAAACCCU
rnacentral:rRNA from 1 species